GGUGUCGCAGACACUAAAGCAGUCAGUCAUGUUUUUCUGUGUUCUGAUCAACGCUGAAUAAACUUGUAAAUAAUGCUCUCCUGGGUGCAACUUUUGGCUGUGCUAAUUGCUGAUAGAGCGUGCAUGAGUCUGGAAUGUGUACAAGAUAUUUUCUAGAAACUCAUGUCGCUGAGUGCCUACGGGAGGUAGAUGGAUCGUCCGGCAGACGGCUUGGGGGCCUUGAUGGACUUUAUCUCCCUGGCAGUAUCUCAACAACAGGUUUCGGGCCCAGAUUCACAGCACUUACAGGAGAGUAAGACUGCGACAGACUGCUGAAAGGUAUGUGGAGGAAAAGCGAAAGUGAGGCUUUCGUUGCCGCGGCAAAGUCCCUUUGAUGUCCGGUCAGGCCUAAUUGGAUCUGGGAGCCGCGCCAAGAGCAUUCGUGAGUUAUGGGCUGCUAAGAUAAGGGGUCUUUGAAGUGAAUAAGAUUCAUGGCUCAAGUAGAAACCUGGAAUGGAGUUUUUCCACGCUUCUGAGGCUGCUGCGUGCCCAAAGUUAAAUCGGCACAAUUAUGGGACCUGGGCUGUGUGGUGUGAGAGCUUGCUGCGUCAGUUUGGAGUGUGGCAUACAGUUCCUCUGACAGAAAGAUGGGAGUCCGAAAAUUUGAGGGCGAUAGACGUAAUCGUCUUGUCCGUCUCUCUGGAGGAAAUAAAACGCUAGCUGGCAAUCUGACUGCACGUAACAUGUGGCAUGCUUUGAAGAUAGCCCAUCUGCCAGUCAUCCCAGCCCAGAGUUUGACUGCAUCGGAGGUCCUGGCUGUUUCCCAGAAUGCGAGUGAAUGCAGGGAUGCCGAGGGCACCGGUUGCAAGCUCCAGGGGGAGCAAUGUGGGACAGCAUUCCAGCCUCCAGGGGGAGCCAAGGAGUCGGCAGCUGAGAGCUCUGUUUCUCGUGGGAGCCAAGGUCAUCGCCUUUGCAGAGGCCGGAAAGGCAAAGGUAAACAGAGGCAGACGCCUGCAGAUGGCCAGAAGCAGAGGGAGGGUGAAGAGCCCACGCCAGUGGAAAACAAGGUUAUGUUUGCUGGCACAGCCUCACCAAAGGCUAAAGGCAAGUCUGAUGGCCAGGAGCAGGGGGGCAAGCUGCAAAAGCCCACGCCGGUGGAAAACAAGGUUUUGCUUGCUGCAAAGGCUGCUCCAAAAGCCAAGGCCAGGUUUGUUGUUGAUUCAGGCUGUACCCGCCAUGUCUCAAAGGACCGCCACCUAUUUAUCUCCUUCACGCCUCAGGAAGGUGAGAUCCACCUGGCUGACGGAAAGACGUUGCGAAUUGCAGGAGAAGGGACUGUGAAACUGGCAAGUCUGCACACUACCAUCGAAGAUGUGCUGUAUGUUCCAGGUGCUGCAGACAAUUUGCUCAGUGUCCCGCAGUUGACUGGGCGUGGUUUUGAGAUUUCCUUCAAGAGGAGUGUCUGUGUCAUCAGAAAAGGCAAAGAGGACAUUUUGCAUGCAAAGUUUAUGGAUGGCUUGUUCUGUAUAACUUAUGACGACAAUGGUGCUGUUGUGUCUAAUGUUGAUUCUUGUUGUGUUGCACAAACUAACAAAGUUCUUCAUACAGGAUGCAUUCAUGAUGCACACAGAAGAUUUUGUCACAUGUCUUGGCAGGCGCUGGCCAAGAUGCCAGAGAUGGUUGAGGGUUUGAACAUCAAACCCUGUAAGUUUCACAUGAAAUGUGUAUCUUGUGCAGAGAACAAGGUGAAGGUUGCUCCAAAAGGCAAGGAGUCUAGCAGGCAGGCUUCCAAACCCUACCAGCUAGUGCACGCAGACCUGGUUGGUCCACUUGCGCCCUCUUUGGGUGGAGCAAGGUACUUCAUGGUUCUAAUUGACUCUUUUUCCAGGUACAUUCAUGUGUUUAUGCUCGAGCAGAAAUCGCAAGCGUUUCCUAAGUUCAAGGCAUUCUGUGCUUGGUUGGACAAUGUUCAUGGUAAACGCAUUGGCUGUCUGUUUACUGAUCGAGGCGGGAGUUCACUUCUCAGCAGUUUGAAGCUUUCCUGACUGAGAAGGGAAUCCAGCAUAGCCUCUCAAGUCCUGGAUCUCCAUGGGAGAUUUGUGAGCAAGCAAAGCAAACGUUGCUGCAAGGACUGAAAACAUUGUUGCAUGAUGCCAAUCUCCCUGAGAAGUUUUGGGGAGUCUUUGAACUCGUUUGUUUACACUUUUAAUCGCAGGUUGUCAUCACCUAUUGGUUGUACUCCCUAUGAGAAGAUGUUUGGUAAGAAACCCAACAUCAAGCACAUGAGAAUCUUUGGUUCUGACAUGUGGGUACACACCCCACAGAGCAACAAGCUUGGGAAGCGUGGGGCACAUGGUUUGUUCAUGGGGUACAAAAAAGGUGCAUACAGGGUGUGGAUGACCAACUCUAAGUCCAUUAAGUUCACAAAGAGUGUUGAGUACAAUCCUAAGUGGGGGGAAAAUGUGGGAAUUUUCCAGAGUUACCCAGAGGAGGAUGAAGGUGAUGUCAAAGAAGCAGCUAAAGCUGAGGAAGCUGCUGAGGAUGAUGAUGACGAUGAUGAUCAGAGUUCGGAUUCCAGUUCAGUGGGCGGCGCUGCUGCUGAUGUCAGUGACAGUGAUGACACAGCAGACUACAAGAGCGCAAAGGCCUCAGUCAGACCAUCUGAUGCGUCUGACAAUGAACUGGAAGAACCACUGUUCACCAUUGGUCACUUUUCUCCUAAGAAGGAGGAGAUGAGUCCAGAAGACUUGCGUCUAGUACGCAGAUCUGAGAGAGCCACGAAGGGCAGACCUCCAAAGAGAUUUGCUGAUGAGUUUGCUAAGACAGCAACUGCUGUUCUUAGUAGCUCAGAGAAGGUAUGGGAACCUUCAAGCUUCAAAGAGGUUCAGGAGUUAACCUCUAAAGAUGCUGAGCCUUGGCUUAAUGCCAUGAAGGCUGAAGUUGAUUCCUUGAAUAGGAACCAAACUUGGGAACUGGUACCGGUAGUCCCAGGAAUGAGACUGGUUGGCAGCAAAUGGGUCUUCAAGGCCAAGACAGACCAGAAUGGCAAGGUUGUCAGACACAAAGCCAGAUUGGUUGCCAGAGGUUUUUCACAGGUACCAGGACAGGAUUACCACGAGACCUACUCACCCACCGUCAAAUAUGAGAGCAUUCGGCUGAUGCUCAAGAUAGCUGCAGAGGAGAAACUGCAUGUUUCCCAUCAUGACAUUAAUACAGCUUUUUUGUACGGGAUUUUGGAAGAGGAGCUGUUUAUGCUUCCACCUGAUGGGAUGCAGAUACAGAAGGGAAUGGUCUGUAAACUGCGGAAAUCCUUGUAUGGUCUCAAGCAGAGUGCCAGGUGUUGGAACACAAAGCUCACUGAGACAUUGCUUUCUCUAGGUUUUCACCAGGGCAAAGCUGAUCCAUGUGUGUUUGUCAAGGAGGAGGGCAAAACAAACUGUAUUGUUUAUGUUUUGUUGAUGAUCUUCUGAUGUUUUGGAAGAAUCAGGCUUUGUACCAAAGCACCCUAGCUCAGCUGAAGGAGCACUUUGACAUGAAGGAUCUUGGUGAGGUAUCCAACUAUCUUUCUCUGCAGGUGGAGAGGGACCAAGCAGGUAAUUUUCUGGUACACCAAACACAGAAAAUUGCUGAUGUAUUAACCAGGUUGAAUUUGGUUGAUGCAAACCCAGCAGACACACCGAUGGUGACAGGUUACCAGGUAGACAGUACUGCUGAAGCGUUUUCUGACACAACGCUGUACAGAUGCAUUCUAGGCAAGUUGAAUUUUAUUGCUAGAUGCUCAAGACCUGACAUAGCUGUGAGCACUAACCUGCUUAGCAGACAUGCUAACAAUCCUACUGUUCAGGAUUGGAAAGCUCUGAAGCGCAUAGCCCGCUAUUUGAAAGGGACUAUGCACUACAGGCUGAGGUUCACCAGUCAGAAGACUGGAGGUCUUGAAAUCUUUGCAGAUGCAAGUUUUGGAAGUGACACCACGGAUGGUACAAGCACUUCUGGAGUAUGCUACAUGUACAACCACUGUCUGUUUGACUGGCUGUGCAAAAGCAGACGACAGUGAGCCUAAGUUCCUGUGAAGCAGAACUCAAUGCUCUGUCAUUUUCACUCAUGGAUUGUGAAUGGUUGAUGCAACUGUUUAAGGACAUCAGAGUUUCUGUGAAAUGUCCUGUACAAGUGUAUCAAGACAAUAGAUCGUGUUUGGCUUUGCUGAACUCGGAGAGUUGCAAGCAAAGGACCAAGUACUUGCAGAUUAAGCUACAUCGUGCAAGAGAGUGUAUUCAGAAAGGACUCAUUCAGGUGUCCUACAUGCCAGGAAAUGAAAUUCCUGCUGAUCUGUUGUCUAAGGUUGUUAACAGAGAACAACUUAAGGUUUACGUACAAAGGUUGCAAUUGGGUUGAACCACAGGUACUACAGGUUACACGGAAAGGGGAGGAUGUUAGGAUAUUUCCGUUCCACCUUAAAAGGGAGCAGGCUUUGUGAGUCAGAGUCUGCGUAUUUCCUGUUCACAGGAUGUUUAUGUUUUCUGUUGCUUUCGUUUUCUCUCUGGUGUCGCAGACACUAAAGCAGUCAGUCAUGUUUUUCUGUGUUCUGAUCAACGCUGAAUAAACUUGUAAAUAAUGCUCUCCUGGG
rnacentral:lncRNA from 1 species